rnacentral:rRNA from 1 species
AUACGGAGGGUGCAAGCGUUGUUCGGAAUUACUGGGCGUAAAGCGCGCGUAGGUGGUCUGUUAUGUCAGAUGUGAAAGUCCACGGCUCAACCGUGGAAGUGCAUUUGAAACUGGCAGACUUGAGUACUGGAGGGGGUAGUGGAAUUCCCGGUGUAGAGGUGAAAUUUGUAGAUAUCGGGAGGAAUACCGGUGGCGAAGGCGACUACCUGGCCAGAUACUGACACUGAGGUGCGAACGCGUGGGAGCGAACAGGAUUAGAAACCCCGGUAGUCC